GAUGAACGCUGGCGGCGUGCUUAACACAUGCAAGUCGAACGAUGAAGCUCAGCUUGCUGGGUGGAUUAGUGGCGAACGGGUGAGUAACACGUGAGUAACCUGCCCUUAACUCUGGGAUAAGCCUGGGAAACUAGGUCUAAUACCGGAUAGGAGCGCCUACCGCAUGGUGGGUGUUGGAAAGAUUUAUCGGUUUUGGAUGGACUCGCGGCCUAUCAGCUUGUUGGUGAGGUAAUGGCUCACCAAGGCGACGACGGGUAGCCGGCCUGAGAGGGUGACCGGCCACACUGGGACUGAGACACGGCCCAGACUCCUACGGGAGGCAGCAGUGGGGAAUAUUGCACAAUGGGCGAAAGCCUGAUGCAGCGACGCCGCGUGAGGGACGACGGCCUUCGGGUUGUAAACCUCUUUCAGUAGGGAAGAAGCGAAAGUGACGGUACCUGCAGAAGAAGCACCGGCUAACUACGUG
rnacentral:rRNA from 1 species